AUUGAACGCUGGCGGCAUGCUUUACACAUGCAAGUCGAACGGCAGCGCGGGCUUCGGCCUGGCGGCGAGUGGCGAACGGGUGAGUAAUGCAUCGGAACGUGCCCAGUAGUGGGGGAUAGCCCGGCGAAAGCCGGAUUAAUACCGCAUACGACCUGAGGGUGAAAGCGGGGGACCGAAAGGCCUCGCGCUAUUGGAGCGGCCGAUGUCGGAUUAGCUAGUUGGUGGGGUAAAGGCUUACCAAGGCGACGAUCCGUAGCUGGUCUGAGAGGACGACCAGGCACACUGGGACUGAGACACGGCCCAGACUCCUACGGGAGGCAGCAGUGGGGAAUUUUGGACAAAGGGGGCAACCCUGAUCCAGCCAUGCCGCGUGCGGGAAGAAGGCCUUCGGGUUGUAAACCGCUUUUGUUCGGGAAGAAAUCCUCUGGGCUAAUACCCCGGGGGGAUGACGGUACCGGAAGAAUAAGCACCGGCUAACUACGUG
rnacentral:rRNA from 1 species